GAUGAACGCUGGCGGCGUGCCUAAUACAUGCAAGUCGAGCGAACAGACGAGGAGCUUGCUCCUCUGACGUUAGCGGCGGACGGGUGAGUAACACGUGGAUAACCUACCUAUAAGACUGGGAUAACUUCGGGAAACCGGAGCUAAUACCGGAUAAUAUAUUGAACCGCAUGGUUCAAUAGUGAAAGACGGUUUUGCUGUCACUUAUAGAUGGAUCCGCGCCGCAUUAGCUAGUUGGUAAGGUAACGGCUUACCAAGGCAACGAUGCGUAGCCGACCUGAGAGGGGGGGCGCCCCCAGGGGAACGGAGACCGGGCCCAGCCCCAGCGGGGAGGCACAAGUGGGAAAUUUCCGGAAGGGGGCGAAAGCCUGAAGGAGCACCCCCGCGUGGGUGAGAAAGUUCUUGGGUUCGUAACACUUUUUUAUGGGGGAAAAAAAAAUGUGAAAGUAACUAUGCCCGUUUUGAGGGUACCUAAUAAGAAAGCCACGGCAAACUAGGUG
rnacentral:rRNA from 1 species